rnacentral:rRNA from 1 species
GAUGAACGCUGGCGGCGUGCCUAAUACAUGCAGGUCGAGCGAACGGACGAGAAGCUUGCUUUUCUGAUGUUAGCGGCGGACGGGUGAGUAACACGUGGAUAACCUACCUAUAAGACUGGGAUAACUUCGGGAAACCGGAGCUAAUACCGGAUAAUAUUUUGAACCGCAUGGUUCAAAAGUGAAAGACGGUCUUGCUGUCACUUAUAGAUGGAUCCGCGCUGCAUUAGCUAGUUGGUAAGGUAACGGCUUACCAAGGCAACGAUGCAUAGCCGACCUGAGAGGGUGAUCGGCCACACUGGAACUGAGACACGGUCCAGACUCCUACGGGAGGCAGCAGUAGGGAAUCUUCCGCAAUGGGCGAAAGCCUGACGGAGCAACGCCGCGUGAGUGAUGAAGGUCUUCGGAUCGUAAAACUCUGUUAUUAGGGAAGAACAUAUGUGUAAGUAACUGUGCACAUCUUGACGGUACCUAAUCAGAAAGCCACGGCUAGCUACGUG